CGACCUCCUCUCUCCUCGUUCUCGCUCGCGUGCGCUCGGUUACCGGAACCACCGCGCCACCGCGCCGUGUCGUGGUGGGGAUUUUUCCGCCGCCACCAGGAAACCCACCGGCAGCCGCAAUCGGGGGGCAAUAUCUGGUUGGGGUGCUUCGUAGGGUUGCACCGAGUCUUGUUAAUGCAUCUACGGGCGCACUAGAUGGUUGGGACUGCUCACCGGAGCUCUGCGGGCAGCUCCGGGCCGCAUCGGUGCCAUGGUCAGGACUCCUCACUUCUCAAAUUACCGUUAAAUUUUCCCUUUCGCGCUCACCAGGGCCCCUGCUACGAUUAGUUCUCUUUAGAUCGGGGUUUGUUGCACUAAUGCGGUGUAUGGGCGUGCCCAGUAUGGCCGCCGCCGCGGUAAGCGCGCGUUCCGCCGCUUGCGCACUGGCGUGGGGUGGAAGACGGCGUAUGGGCUGUCCGAUCUUUGACGAGCGCGUAAGAUUAGUUCGUGUUGUAAGGAGCCUGGGCCAUCGGAUCGGAAUUGAAGGGAUACGAUUCGAUCGUGGGGAUACCGAUUCGGGGGCUUAAUUUCGACCAUUGAUUGUCUAUCCAAUGGUUUGGGUUAGAUAUGGGCGUGGAGUGUUGCGGUACAUGGAUCCCGGAUCAAACGGUUAUCAUCGCGUACCGGUUCAUGAAGAGAUAAUCUAAUUUACACCGCCAGUUUCUGAUCUGACGGUGCUCGUUGUCCGAUACCCUUUCGGCUAGCCAUCUUUACAUAAGAGCCCUCGGAGGAAAUGAAAUUCAGCCCACAGUCCAGGCGGCUAAUGCUCUGUGUCUUAGAGAUUCUCACACUAGGGCCCCUGCGGAUUUCUGGAUUCAUGCACCCAGUCCUGGGAGUUAGAAAAUUAGAUAAAUGGAUUUAAAAAUAGAUUUUAAGAUGACAAUAAUAGCUAGAAUUUGUUUAAUUCAUACAAAAUUCAUAUUGAGUCAAAAUUAAUCCAUUUCAGUUUCUAUAAUUUUCUAAUAUUAUUGUUUAUCACAUAGUACCACUGAUUUGACAUGAAAGCCACUUUAAAAUUUAUUUCCUAAUUAAUCUUAUAUCAAAUAUAUAAAACCUUAAGAAAUUCAUAACUCAUCCAUUUUAACUCUGAUUUGAUCCAUUCAAGUUGUGUUAGUCUCGUAUGAAUAUUUACUAUGCAAUAGCAACAUUUAUUAUAUCAUGUCUUAUUCUUUUAUAAUUAGGUCUUUAUUUAACUUAUGUUGGUUAGUCUCGUUAAACUACUACGGAACAAUUGGAUCUAUACCAUUAAAAGAUCCAAACUUUAGAUAUAUACCAUGGACCCCACAUGUCAUUGACUCAUGUGGACCCACAUGUAAGUGAGAUAGUAAUGGUAUGGAUCCAAAGUGGUGAUCUUUUAAUGGUAUGGAUCCAAAUUUCCCCUACUACUUAUCAUUAUAAUCUACUAGAAUAUAAUCUAUGGUCAAUUUAUAACUUAUCAUUAUAAUCUACUAGAAUAUCAUUAAGUUGAUGUAAUUAUUUAUAGAAUAACCUCUUAUAUGAUUUAUAUUAACCAAUUUAUAAUAUAGUUUAACAUUUUAAUCACAUAAAUCCUCUAUAAAAUCAUAACUCCUUAACCGUGACUCCGAUUUUAGUGGUUCUCGUUCCCACGAUUUUGUAGCAACGCGUAGAUUAUUAUUAUGUUGUAUGUUCUUAUGUUUGGUGUGAUGUUAAUUUUGUCUAUACCAUGUUUGUUUGUAUUGCUACGACUAGCGUGAGGUCACGAGGAUCUGAAGAAUCAUCCUGGUACCUGGAAUCUCAAGUGCUAGGCAAGUUGUGCCCUUGAUCCAUUUUUGUUAUCCAAUAAUAUUCUUUAUUAUCACUAUUCAUGCAUAGGUUUAAUUUUGAUGGGACCCAAUAGGUCACCCUAGUCUGUUUAUCCUGUUUACCUUGUUUACCCCUGAUUCACUUGGGUAGUUAUGCUAUUGCAUUAUGUGGUUUCAGGUUAAUAUUUCAUUAUAUCCAUGUUCCUAUUAUUCUGUUAUGUUAUUUAUGUUCAUGAUAAGAUCAUUAUGUUAAUGGGAACAUGGAGCGACCACCCGGGAAAACAGUGCUACCACAAGGGUUUAAUGAGACACCCUUGGCUGAUUAAUUAGGAAAGCUAGUGGAUGACUACCUUACCCGAAAGGGGCAAGGGCAGUAGGGGAGUGGUCAGUGUAGGGAGGUCCUUGGGUUGAUUUUGCUGCAAUGGCGGUCAGGCGAGGGAUUCCUGCACUAGAGCUUCCAAUAAACUAUAGCGGGUUUUCUGAAGCUAGUGGAACAUUGUAAUGGCCUCGUAGUGUUAUCCUGCCUCGCUUCCUUGGUAGAGGUGUAUGGGAUUCAUGACCCCUUGGCAGAUGGGUAACAUGACUUGUGGGUAAAGAUGCGCAACCUCAGCAGAGUGUAAAACUGGUAUACUAGCCGUGCUCACGGUCAUGAGCAGCUCGGACCCUCACAUGAUUAAUCUAUGGAAUUAAAACUCGAUUUUUCAUUUGUAUCGCAUUGGGAUUAUUUUAUUUUUACUUUUACUUAUUAUUACUAAGGUUUGGUAUUUACUUAUACUUAGUAAUUUCUAGUAAAAUUUUGACCAACUUAUAAAAGCAAUGCUCAGCUUUAACCCCUAUUGUAUCAGCUUUACACAUCACAUGAACUCCCACCUUUGGUGAGUUCAUGCCACAUUAUUCCCCACAACUUGUUGAGCGAUGAACAUGUGUGAGCUCACCCUUGCUGUCUCACACCCCCCACAGGAGAAGACCAGUUGGUUCAAGAGGAGCCACACAUCGAGGAGUUCGAUCGAUCUAGGUGGCGUCUCCUAGUUAACUUUCUGGCGCCAAGGAUGGAUUUUAGAUUCUGUUAUAUUUAUCUUUUAUUUUGUAAGACUUCCGCUAUGUAAUAAAUACUAUGAUUAUAUUGUAACAUUUAUCUCUAUACACUCUGUUAUUAUAUAUGUUGUCUUCUUUGGCACAUGUAUGAGAUGCACCCGGCUUUGUCCCUUAAAGCCCGAGUGUGACACAAAGUUUGAGAAAUUUUCUCAACCAUUUGAC
rnacentral:lncRNA from 1 species